rnacentral:rRNA from 1 species
UUUGACCUCGGAUCAGGUAGGGAUACCGCUGAACUUUAAGCAUA